GAACCUAAGGACAGCUUAGCCCUAACUGCCAGCCCAUUGGGUGGAGAUGGAGCUUUGGCUACUCUGCUUGGCUUUGGUGGGGAUUCCCAUCAUUCCUGACUUUUUUUUAGGUCCGUCUUUUCUUAACAAGAGCUUAAAAAGAGAAAUAACCUCCACAGGAGAGGAGACCUGUUUAGCAGUCAAGGAUAUUUAGGUAUCUUGAGUCUCUGUUAGAAAUUUUUAAUCAAAUUCUCAAGGUUUAUUUGUAAGAGACAAUAGAAUGCCAAGUGCCCAAGACUGAAUCUUAAUUUUUUUAUUCUAUGUCUUAUAGUCCUCAUGA
rnacentral:snRNA from 1 species